CUGAAGAGUAUGACUCAGUGAAAAGCUUAGAAAUGCAUACUGUGAAUAAGAGAUAAGAAAAGCUUAGUAAAUGUGAAAAAAAUCGCUGUGAUUAUUCAGGUGAACUGGUCAAGUGGAGACUGAAGGACAACAGGUCUGAGAAAUGUAUGCUAUUCAAAAGUAUUGGUAGGAAGAAAGAAAGGUUGGCCUACAAUGUGCUGGGUGGAUAAAGUUAAAGACUACUGGAGGCAGAGAGUCUUUUUCUUCAGAAGUGAGAGUGUAUAAGAUUUAAAUGAAUAGCACUUUGCACAAGGUGUGGUGAUGCAUUACAGACAUGCCUUCUUUGUCAGAACAUAAAGUAGCUAAUGUCAUGUUAGUUUACUGCACAAGAGGCUCAUCCUUGACUCAACAGUUACAGGUCCUUCAGAACAUCACGUAAAACGGCAAGAGGCCACUCCUUUCGAUUAUCAAUGCUGACACCUGCCUCUCUUAACCGUGGGAGGCUAUACCCUUGGAUAAAACUUCAACAUCAGCAAAUCACCAAUUCACUGCUGGCAGAAUGCUGCAUGUUCAACUAACCAUGAUAAGUA